UCCUGUCAUCCAACCAAACCAUCUCUCCCAGGGAUCUUUUAUCCCAGAGUUCCUCUUUAGCUCCUCAGAGAGCUCUUUCAAUUUUUCUAUAGCUAAGGUUACUUUACCAUUGGGGCCUGUGUUUUCUGGGAUGUAAGUACAACAUGUCAUGGUGUCAGGCAGAAUUUUGCAUACCCCUCCUUUGAAUGACAUUUGGGACGUAGCCUGCAGCUGUUCGGCCAAACCCUGAAGGGCAUCCCUGGUGUAAUUAACA